GCAACCAUGGUGCAGUGGUUAUUGUGUACCGCCUCUGGGAGACGUCCCGAGGGGUGGUCGUGGGUUCGAUUCCCGCGGAUGCA